rnacentral:lncRNA from 1 species
CCUAUUCAGUUUGGCUCUUGGUACACGAUGGAUGACAAUGCCUUCCCUGUUUGUAUUGUCAGAUCAUUUUUAAAGUAAAAUAUUAAAAGCUCCUAACAACUUGGACACAUUAUACAGAUGCCAUAAACCCAGUGACAACCAGUAGAAAUGGUCCUAAAGCAUGGACUGAAGGCCAUCAGCACAAGCAGCCUGUGACAGCCAACUGGGUACAUGGUGACAUUGACUUGUUGCUUAUAAUGCAGCUGAGAUGGAAGGAUGACUCAGCUCGUUGACUUACUAGAAGCUGUAUGUGAAGGGACCAGGCAAUAAGAAGAUCAUUCUUCAGAGUUUAUUUUCUCCAUCCAGAGAAACUUCUAAGACUCUACAUUUAAAUAAAGACUGAAGG